AGGCUAGCAAACCAUUCGAGGG
rnacentral:siRNA from 1 species